rnacentral:rRNA from 1 species
UACGAAGGGGGCUAGCGUUGCUCGGAAUCACUGGGCGUAAAGCGCACGUAGGCGGAUCUUUAAGUCAGGGGUGAAAUCCUGGAGCUCAACUCCAGAACUGCCUUUGAUACUGGGGAUCUCGAGUCCGGAAGAGGUGAGUGGAACUCCGAGUGUAGAGGUGAAAUUCGUAGAUAUUCGGAAGAACACCAGUGGCGAAGGCGGCUCACUGGUCCGGUACUGACGCUGAGGAGCGAAAGCGUGGGGAGCAAACAGG